AUGAGGCACUGUUUUGUGGAUAAUCCCGUGUACCCCGAGUUGUACUUCUGGCGCCGGUUUAGAAUGAGCAUCGAAUUGUUCAGGCGCAUUGGAGAGAAACUGGCGAGCCAUGAUCGGUUUUUUAAGCAAAGGAGGAAUGCCGCCGGAGAACUCGGGCAUAGCACCUUUUAGAAGGUCGCAACCGCUUUGCGUAUGUUGGCAUACGGUAUUCCGGCUGAUCUUGUUGAUGACCACUUGGCCAUGAGUGAGAGUCAAGCCAUCAUGUGUGUCAAGUGUUUGGUCCGGAGUAUUUGA
rnacentral:rRNA from 1 species